rnacentral:rRNA from 1 species
GGUGAGUAACACGUGAGUAACCUGCCCCUGACUCUGGGAUAAGCGUUGGAAACGACGUCUAAUACUGGAUAUGACUGCCGGCCGCAUGGUCUGGUGGUGGAAAGAUUUUUUGGUUGGGGAUGGACUCGCGGCCUAUCAGCUUGUUGGUGAGGUAAUGGCUCACCAAGGCGACGACGGGUAGCCGGCCUGAGAGGGUGACCGGCCACACUGGGACUGAGACACGGCCCAGACUCCUACGGGAGGCAGCAGUGGGGAAUAUUGCACAAUGGGCGAAAGCCUGAUGCAGCAACGCCGCGUGAGGGAUGACGGCCUUCGGGUUGUAAACCUCUUUUAGUAGGGAAGAAGCGUAAGUGACGGUACCUGCAGAAAAAGCACCGGCUAACUACGUGCCAGCAGCCGCGGUAAUACGUAGGGUGCAAGCGUUGUCCGGAAUUAUUGGGCGUAAAGAGCUCGUAGGCGGUUUGUCGCGUCUGCUGUGAAAUCCCGAGGCUCAACCUCGGGCUUGCAGUGGGUACGGGCAGACUARAGUGCGGUAGGGGAGAUUGGAAUUCCUGGUGUAGCGGUGGAAUGCGCAGAUAUCAGGAGGAACACCGAUGGCGAAGGCAGAUCUCUGGGCCGUAACUGACGCUGAGGAGCGAAAGCGUGGGGAGCGAACAGGAUUAGAUACCCUGGUAGUCCACGCCGUAAACGUUGGGCGCUAGAUGUAGGGACCUUUCCACGGUUUCUGUGUCGUAGCUAACGCAUUAAGCGCCCCGCCUGGGGAGUACGGCCGCAAGGCUAAAACUCAAAGGAAUUGACGGGGGCCCGCACAAGCGGCGGAGCAUGCGGAUUAAUUCGAUGCAACGCGAAGAACCUUACCAAGGCUUGAMAUACACCGGAAACGGCCAGAGAUGGUUGCCCCCUUGUGGUCGGUGUACAGGUGGUGCAUGGUUGUCGUCAGCUCGUGUCGUGAGAUGUUGGGUUAAGUCCCGCAACGAGCGCAACCCUCGUUCUAUGUUGCCAGCGCGUUAUGGCGGGGACUCAUAGGAGACUGCCGGGGUCAACUCGGAGGAAGGUGGGGAUGACGUCAAAUCAUCAUGCCCCUUAUGUCUUGGGCUUCACGCAUGCUACAAUGGCCGGUACAAAGGGCUGCGAUACCGUAAGGUGGAGCGAAUCCCAAAAAGCCGGUCUCAGUUCGGAUUGAGGUCUGCAACUCGACCUCAUGAAGUCGGAGUCGCUAGUAAUCGCAGAUCAGCAACGCUGCGGUGAAUACGUUCCCGGGCCUUGUACACACCGCCCGUCAAGUCAUG